rnacentral:rRNA from 1 species
UACAGAGGGUGCGAGCGUUGUCCGGAAUCACUGGGCGUAAAGGGCGCGUAGGCGGCUUGAUAAGGUUGCGGUGAAAGCCCGGGGCUCAACCCCGGGUCGGCCGUGGCAACUGUCGAGCUGGAGCACUGUAGAGGCAGGUGGAAUUCCGGGUGUAGCGGUGGAAUGCGUAGAGAUCCGGAAGAACACCGGUGGCGAAGGCGGGUCUCUGGGCCGAUAUUGACGCUGAGGAGCGAAAGCGUGGGGAGCGAACAGG